GAAAGCAAUAGAAUAAAAAAAAAAAUAAAAUAAAAUAUUACAUUAUAUAAUAUUUUCAGAUCUACAAAAAAAGCAUUCGUAAGUAGCAAAUUCAGAUUCCAUCAGCGACGGUAAAAUACAUUUUAGGCUAAUAGGUAAAUUCUGAACGGUAACGUGACAUAUUAAAAUGUUAAGAUCAAUAACGUGAUUUCCACGCGGUUUCCCGGCUAACUUGCACGCGCUACUGCGUGAUACAUUUUAAAAUCGCAAGCGAUCACGUGCCGAAGAUUGUUUUGACAUUUAAUACUCGGCUGAAUUUAUUUUAAAAUAUAGAGCACCGUUCACGUGACAGAAUACGAAUUUGCUCGAACAAUAUUUUAAAUAAUUUAAAUUAUUCGCUGUAAUAUUUUAAUAUAAUAAUUUUCGAUAAAUAUUUCUAUACGAAAAAUAUAUAAUUUAAAUUUGCACUAGAAGGGGAAUUUUAAUUAAAUGUUUUCUCUUUUUUUUCCAGUUUGUUCCAUUUUUAUCAUUUUUCUAUUUUCUUUCCAUAACGAGGAAAAAGAAGAGAUGAAUGAGGUCAUCCUAUGUCAUAUGAAUGCUAAUGGAAACGCUUCGUCUAAUAUUACGUCAUGUACUACGUCUACUUCGAGUCGAAGACAAAACGUCGAUUUUCCGCAAAUUUAAACGAUUAAUCAACCGAAUACCUUAAUUUAUUGAUUUAAUAUUCCAUCUCUCGUUCUGUCGUCUUUAUUUAUAAAUAAUAUAACGCUUUCAUUCCUCAGAAUCGAUUUUUAUAUUAACUUAUUUGAAUAUUUAAAAUUUCACUAGCGUUUACACGUACGAUUUGUGGAAUGUUAAAUUCCUUCAUAACGCUAAAUGUAGCAAUUUAGCAUUUAAAUUACUAGCGCGUAUACUAUUAAAAUUGUUUGAUGAGGAAGCUGCAGCAAUUUCAUCAAUUAAUAUCUCCUCUGAUUUUUUUUUCUUUUUUUGAACAAGAAAGACAUUUAACAAGGAAAAGAUAGAAGUCUGUGGGGACAAGAUCGGGAGAGUAAAGAAGUUAAGAAAGCAUUGUUAUGGUACCUAUUACUUCUAAAGUAAGACCAUCUUGGUCAAAUAUUCAUUUAUCAGGAACGAGCGAUUGAGGCCGAAUGUAAAAGCCAUAGCAACGAAAAUCUUUAAAGACAUUACAAGAAAAGGCUUCCAGGAUUACUUUGGAAGUAAUAGGUCUACGAGUAUAGUGUGCAUGUUCGCUUGCAGAAGUGUGUAUUUGCAGAAAGCGAUUAUUUUGAAAGUGAUGUGACGUUAAGAGUUGCUGUGUUGUGUAAUAAAACCUGGACCAAAAAUUUCAUUCGUGCUUUACUCGACCUCGUAUAUUUGUUAUAGUUUCUUACAUAAAUAAACUUCAUUUAGUCUUUUAUUGUAUUCUUACAUAUCAUCAGAUUAUUUACUAUACUCGUGCUAUGUUUAAUAAAAGACGAAUCCAGGAGCAA